rnacentral:misc_RNA from 1 species
UUAACUUAUUUGCUUGUUUACUCAGAGAUUCACAAAGAUACAUAAGAGUUUCGUACCUCCGGCGGGCGGCCCCAUCCCCGAGAGGGUGGGUCCCCGGCCCCGGACCGCGAACGGCCCCGGACCUCCCGCCGAAGCAACGCUGAUGGAUAGGUUCGCGAUGGUUUCAAGCGGCCUUUCGGCGCUCUAAUAAUGAUCCCUCCGCUGGUUCACCAACGGAGA